rnacentral:rRNA from 1 species
AACGUAGGAGACAAACGUUAUCCGGAGUUACUGGGCGUAAAGGGCGUGUAGGUGGUUUUGUAAGUCUGGCGUGAAAUUUUUCGGCUUAACCGGGAAAGGUCGUCGGGUACUGCAAGGCUAGAGGACGGUAGAGGCGUGUGGAAUUCCGGGUGUAGUGGUGAAAUGCGUAGAGAUCCGGAGGAACACCAGUGGCGAAGGCGACACGCUGGGCCGUACCUGACACUGAUGCGCGACAGCAUGGGGAGCAAACAGG